UUCUUCUCGUAUUCUGCGCCCUCCAUAGCCAGUCGCCACCCACAACACCACCUCUCUCCUUGAGCGGACCCGCCAGGCCCGGAUCGGUCCUGGCCCGCAGCACCACGCUCUGCCCGAGCUCCUGAGGGGAGGAGCCUCGAGCGAGGAGCUUCUGCACAGCCUCCCCGACCCGCCACCACGCAGCGGCUCUCGCAACCCUCGGUCCCGUCGUCCCGAGCCGCCGGGACACCGGCCGUCGCCGGAGCAGCCUGGUCGGCCUCCCCUGCUCCAGCCUCGUGCAGCCCUAGCAAUGGAGCUCCGCGCCGGUUGAGCUCCCUCGCUGCCGUCCGCCAUCCCAUGCCCCGAUCCGACCGGAUCCGGCCAGAUGCGGACCGGGCGAGCCCGUUCCCGGCUUCAGCCUACCCCGCCAUCGCGUCCACCU
rnacentral:lncRNA from 1 species